GGAAGAGGGGAACCUCAUUUCAGAAAGUGCUGUCAUUAGAUUGGCCUGUAGGCAAUUCUAUGGGGGCAUUUUGUUGACUCAUGAUUGAUGUGAAGGAUCCAGCCCAUUGUGGGUGGUGCUACCCUGGUGCAGUGCACUUGGUCCUGGGUUGUAUUAAAAGCAGGCUGAGUCAUCGGUGAGGAGCAGCCAGUGAGCAGCCCUCCUCUGCUUUGGCUCCUGCUUCCAGGUUCCUGCCCUGCUUGAGUUCCUGCUCUGACUUCUCUCAAUGAUGGUCUGUGAUCUGGACAUAUAAACCCAAUAAGCCCUUUGCUCCCACGUUGGUUUUGGUCCUUUUUAUUACAUCAAUAGUCAGGGAGUCAGGACAGCAGGAAUGAGCCUUUUUAGAUGAGCCAAGUCUAGAACACAGGCCAACGAUGAGGCAAGUCCCAGGAGCUGGCUCCCCACUUUGGAGACCCUGUCAUGUGCCUUCAAUGAUUGUGGCUCUAAAUUUAGGGGCUGUUGACUGGGGCUAGGUGCACACGUUGUCUGGUGAAGACUGUCUGUGCCCUUGUAACUUUCUUCAUGUUUAUUGUAGCCUUCAGUGUUGAAGCGUACUGGACUCCUCUUUCUGCUGUCUCGCAGGCUGUGCAGCGGUCAAAAGGAAUUGCAUACAGACUCUUCAUUUUCUCUUUUGUCACUAUGUACUGCGCCCGUGCUUCCUGCUGCACAGGUAUUUGUCACAGUGAGAGGAUGUCUAACAAACCCACCUACCUACAUCGUCUCUUUCCAUCCUUACCACGAUCUCUUCGAGGCCAGCCUGCUCAACAAAGCCAGGUCCAGGACAGCCAGAGCUAUACAGAAAAACAGUGCCUGCCUUUGAGUCAUCUGCUCCAGUAAAGAACGCUGCUCCUG
rnacentral:lncRNA from 1 species